GAGCAGGGGUGAGGAUGGAGAGCAAAUGCCAUCCUCGUUGUUUUUUUGUUUUUGUUUUUUUGUUUUUACACAAUAGAGGCCUGCCCCGGAGGCUAAAUGACCCAGUAACACACAAACAGCAAAACAAAGGCUGAGUCAGGACCUGGCUGGGUCUCAGGCCUUACCCCCAGAGCAGCUACUUCCUCCUAAAUACCUCUAAGCCCUCAUAUCUUGGGCCUUUAGUUUUAGCACCUGGGCUGCCAUGCUUUUGCUCCUAGUUACGCUGUUUCCACCACCUCCAUCUGGGGAUCUCUGUGGAAGUGAAACCGCACCGCAGAUGGGACUCAAGCCCUAUUGUGCCUCAGAUGGGACUUGAACCUACAAUCUUUAGCUUAGGAAAGGGGUUUGAACCCCAAAUCUCCCAGCUGAAACUGCAUACGUCGUCUCAGGACUUAAAGAAGCUCAGGUUCUUUGAGUCUUGGCGAGAAAGAAUUCGGGUAGGCAGACUGAGGUGUUCAGCCCUUGAGUGUACUUUUCUGAGGGGCCCGGAACACUCUGGCUGGAUCCCAGGCUGACAGGAAAGCAGGUGCUCAUUUUCUGGAGGCCACCCAGGUCCUUACUGGUAGAGUCCCUGCUCAGGCCACACCUAUCGGUGCCAGGACAGCAACAUCUAGAUGAGUGUAUGAGUGAAGAACUGGGAGAACUGCUGGUAUACCAUGAGCCACACCACACUGGCAUGUGGGAUCUUAAUUCCCUGACCAGGGAUCAAACCUCUGUUCCCUGCAGGAGAAGCUAGGAUUCUCAACCACUGGACUGCCAGAGAAGUCCCUAGAAGAGCUCUUUAUAUGUUAAGGAUCUUUCCUACCUUAAUGACUUUGUCUUAUGUAUUUUAUCUGGAACCCCACCCUCCUCCUUGUUGCAUCCAGAAACACCAUUCAUUCUUUACAGCUCAAGUCAAACCCACAUUGCCCAGAGGCCAUGCCUGACUUUACCAGUGCUCACUUAUCAACUCCUCUUCGUUCAUUUCUUACCCUGUUCUGUGCUUUAUGUUUAUUGAUUACUCUUGGCUCCCCAGCUGGGAUGUUGAGUGCUUUUUACUACAGGGAUUCAAAGAGAUUCGGGUAUUAGACUAAGCAUGUGAUAUGCACAAAACUAGUAUCAGUAAACCGAUGAAUUGAUGCCUUGAACUGGAAAUCAAAAUUGGAGGUUUUGUCUUCACAUUUCCUAUGUUUAUUACAAAUACAUAUCACCAUACACC
ensembl:lncRNA